GCACCCGCACAGCAAGGAGGCUGAAAAGAGGUGAAAAAACUCCCUUCUGAAUUGAAAUCACAGACCUGUGACCUGCAUGCUCUCCUAAAUGGGAAGGGGUGAGGAGCGCUGUGGGAAAGGCUCCUCCUUGGCAAGGAAAGGGAUGAUUUCUCCGGAGUUCACCGGACUCCCCCUUUCCCCAGCGCCAAGCAUCCGGGUGAGUGUUUUGCAAUGGGGUCUGUCACCAUCAGGAACCGAGGAGAGUUUAGACUCUGCAUUUACUACACCAGACCCACAAAGCACCACCUGUGCUCUCAGUCUCAGGAGAAACAGCCUCUUUCACUUUUCAAAUCAAUCUUCUGUGCAUGUAUUUACUAUAAUGUUACAGCACCAUUGGUUCCAGCUUUAAAUCACGAAGAUAUGCUCUACUUAACGACUUUAGUUGAAGCAGCACACAGCCACAUGGGAAAUACCAUUUAGAGGCCAAUCAUCUCUUUCCCAGAAAAUCUCUGGGGACAGGGGCAGGGGAGGGAGAGAGGGAGCUGAGAAGCCUUGAUGUGCAAGUUCAAUUUCUACAGGUGAACACCAGCGGCCUCGGCAAUGCUAGGUUGUUAGGAAUUCGGCCUUACUUCUUUUCAUCUCUGUGGUUUACUAACUGGCUCUCAAAGGCGUAUGACUGCGGUGCCCCACUGCACGCACGCAGCAGAGGGCAUGACAGGGUUCAUUGGAGAAGCUGGCUCCCGCAGGGCUGCUGGGCUGACCUCUUUCAGCUGGAGAAAGCCAUAAGCGCUCACUAACCUGCCGUGCUCACCAUGAACUUCCACUUGACCACAUAGGCAUCCCCCUCGUGGAACUGCCCGAUGCUUUGUUUGGGGAGCCUGCUAUAGUCAAAUUCCAGGAUGUACCAGACAUCCACGGAGACACUGGUGAUCUCAAACUGCCUCCUGUGGUGUCCUUCCACCAGGCCACAGCCACAGCCAAUGUUCACCCUGUCCAGGAUGGCACCUGCUGUCGUCUGGGGCACGGACACCAUCCGUGUCACGUUGUUCCGCUUGACAUCGGCCCUGGAGUCUUCCUAUAGGGGAACAUGAAGACAUCGGUUCAGUUGCCUGUUUCCGCAGCUAUUCCUUGUCACACUCAACGCUGCUUCAGCUGUUCAUGGGACAGCAUAAAAAUACACCUUCCACACUCUGUCUCAGGAUGUUUAACUGCAGUCAGGGAAAGGCUGCAUUUUCAGAAAGACUCUGGCAGGUCUGAACACCCAUUGGCCACACUGGUGCAUGGGGUGCCUGAAAACAGGUGCAAACCCGACUCUUCACCUCCCAGAGUCAGAUUAGAAUUGGAGGCCAGUCUGCUGUUCUAUUAGUGAAUCCUGGGAAGGCCUCUUAGCUUUAAGGGGUGUGUGUGUGUGUGUGUGUAUGUGUGUCCAUUUUUUUUAAUUAAAAAAGUAUUUUAGUUGACACAUUAUUAUGGAUAUGAUUUGAUGUGUUGAUAAAUGCAUCUGUUUCAUGGGGAAGGGGGUGUGGGAAGGAGACGGGACAGGGAGGAUAGGGAGAUGUUGGCCAACAGGUACAAAAUGACAAUCAGAGAGGAGGAAUGAGCUCUGGUUUUCUCCUGCACAGUGGGGUGACUGUUUUCCAAUACUGUAUUGCAUAUUUCAAAAUAGCUAGAAGAGAAGAUUUGAAUGUUCUCACCACAAAGAAAUGAUACAUCUGGGGUGACAGCCAUGCGAACUAUCCUGAUUUGAUCAUUUUACAUCAAGGCCACUUUUGUUGGGACCCGAACCAAGCCCUGAGGUUUGAGACUUGGUCACUGGAAUACCUUGUGCUGGGCAAGUUCCCCGGGGUUCUUCUCAUUUGGUCUUUUCAGUUCUGUCCAAUCCAGAAACUUUUCUUUGAACAAAAUCGUCUCAUUGUGUUCAGUAAGUCUCCCAAAUAUCGCCCAGUCGGGCCGCCCCUGUCCUUUUCUGUAGGGUGGGAAGGGGGUUGGGAGAACAGACAGGAAAAGAACCAAGAUGAAGCCAAGCUUAAACAAAGGAAUCUAAAACACAUGCGGCUGCUGGAAAAAACCUCAAAGUACGUGAGUACAUAUAAAAUAAAUGGUUUAUUUUCCUGCAUUUUACCAAAUACUGACAUUUUGUUAUUUUAGUCUGAAGUCUUGCAAAGCUUUGUGUCCAUGGAGUUUUUGAUGUGCCUUAAUGUGACAUGAAC
rnacentral:lncRNA from 1 species